rnacentral:rRNA from 1 species
AUGGCUCAGGAUGAACGCUGGCGGCGUGCUUAACACAUGCAAGUCGAACGGAACUUAUGUGAUUGAGGAUUCGUCCAAAUGAUCAUAAGUUUAGUGGCGGACGGGUGAGUAACGCGUGAGGAACCUGCCUUGGAGUGGGGAAUAACACAGUGAAAAUUGUGCUAAUACCGCAUAAUGCAGUUGGGUCGCAUGGCUCUGACUACCAAAGGAGCAAUCCGCUGAAAGAUGGGCUCGCGUCCGAUUAGAUAGUUGGCGGGGUAACGGCCCACCAAGUCGACGAUCGGUAGCCGGACUGAGAGGUUGAUCGGCCACAUUGGGACUGAGACACGGCCCAAACUCCUACGGGAGGCAGCAGUGGGGAAUAUUGCACAAUGGGGGAAACCCUGAUGCAGCGACGCCGCGUGAGUGAAGAAGUAUUUCGGUAUGUAAAGCUCUAUCAGCAGGGAAGAAAAUGACGGUACCUGACUAAGAAGCCCCGGCUAACUACGUG